rnacentral:rRNA from 1 species
CCUACGGGUGGCAGCAGUGGGGAAUAUUGGACAAUGGGGGGAACCCUGAUCCAGCGACGCCGCGUGAGUGAAGAAGUAUUUCGGUAUGUAAAGCUCUAUCAGCAGGGAAGAAAAUGACGGUACCUGACUAAGAAGCCCCGGCUAACUACGUGCCAGCAGCCGCGGUAAUACGUAGGGGGCAAGCGUUAUCCGGAUUUACUGGGUGUAAAGGGAGCGUAGACGGUGCAGCAAGUCUGAUGUGAAAGGUCGGGGCCCAACCCCGGAACUGCAUUUGAAACUGUCGGUCUUGAGUAUCGGAGAGGCAGGCGGAAUUCCUAGUGUAGCGGUGAAAUGCGUAGAUAUUAGGAGGAACACCAGUGGCGAAGGCGGAUUGCUGGACAGUAACUGACGCUGAGGCGCGAAAGCGUGGGGAGCAAACAGGAUUAGAUACCCUAGUAGUC